GACGAACGCUGGCGGCGUGCUUAACACAUGCAAGUCGAACGGAGUGGCGAACGGGUGAGUAACGCGUAAUCAACUUGCUCUUGAGAGGGGGACAACAGUUGGAAACGACUGCUAAUACCGCAUACGGAAGGUGGGGUUUGAGUGUGAUUAGAUAGCUGGGGGGGUAAGGGCCCAUCAAGGAGAUGGUCAGUAGCCGGGCUGGGGGGGAGAACGGCCACAUUGGGACUGGGGCACGGGCCAGACCCCCACGGGAGGCAGCAGGUGGGAAACUUCGGCAAUGGGCGGAAGUCUGACGGAGCAACGCCGCGGGAGUGAUGACGGCCUUCCGGUUGUAAAGCUCUGUUAAUCGGGAAGCGGUACCGGAAUAGAAAGCCACGGCUAACUACGUGCCAGCCGCCGCGGUAAUAC
rnacentral:rRNA from 1 species